rnacentral:rRNA from 2 species
AGAGUUUGAUCCUGGCUCAGAACGAACGCUGGCGGCAGGCUUAACACAUGCAAGUCGAACGCACCUUCGGGUGAGUGGCAGACGGGUGAGUAACGCGUGGGAACGUGCCCUUCAGUUCGGAAUAACCCAGGGAAACUUGGGCUAAUACCGGAUACGUGCGAGAGCAGAAAGAUUUAUCGCUGAAGGAUCGGCCCGCGUCUGAUUAGCUAGUUGGUGGGGUAAUGGCCCACCAAGGCGACGAUCAGUAGCUGGUCUGAGAGGAUGAUCAGCCACAUUGGGACUGAGACACGGCCCAAACUCCUACGGGAGGCAGCAGUGGGGAAUAUUGGACAAUGGGCGCAAGCCUGAUCCAGCCAUGCCGCGUGAGUGAUGAAGGCCUUAGGGUUGUAAAGCUCUUUCGGCGGGGACGAUAAUGACGGUACCCGCAGAAGAAGCCCCGGCUAACUUCGUGCCAGCAGCCGCGGUAAUACGAAGGGGGCUAGCGUUGUUCGGAAUCACUGGGCGUAAAGGGCGCGUAGGCGGCUUGAUAAGUCGGGGGUGAAAGCCUGUGGCUCAACCACAGAAUUGCCUUCGAUACUGUCUGGCUUGAGACCGGAAGAGGUAAGUGGAACUGCGAGUGUAGAGGUGAAAUUCGUAGAUAUUCGCAAGAACACCAGUGGCGAAGGCGGCUUACUGGUCCGGUUCUGACGCUGAGGCGCGAAAGCGUGGGGAGCAAACAGGAUUAGAUACCCCUGUAGUCC